rnacentral:lncRNA from 1 species
GCUAAACAAGGAAAAUAAAAAUCAAACUAUGUGUGGUGUUUUUUGGGGGGUAGAAGGAAUGGUAGAAUGAAUGAAUACUCGGAAGCAACAAGAAAUAAUAACAAAAUAAAACUCACAAGACUUUUCACUCUUUAUUUUUAUACUUCAAAUUUUUUGUUUUUUUUUUCAAUCAAUUUUUUUCGAUUUUUUUUGAAUUUCCUCUUCUUUUUUUAUUUCUUUUUUUCAAUUACAAUAUGCUGAAAUAC